CAAAUUGAGUGGAAUUUAGUUUGAUUUGUUGGAAUUGUGUGAACGACGACAUUUGAGUUGGUGGAGAAAGGAAGUGUAAAGAGGAUGCGUUGAAAAUUUGGAAACAUCAAGGGAUUCUUUUGGCAGAGGAGUUGAAGGGUUAGAAGCAGUUAGGUGCACAAAUGGCAAGGAAGGUGCACAUCACUGCAUUGGUUACUGAAAAGGAGUAUGGAUACAUGUGAAAAAA